UUAUAAUCGUUUGUUAAGCUUAAUUACUGUAUUUAUUUGUCUAUAUCAGAAUACUAAAUGUAAUGUGUAAUUUCAAGAUUAAAAAUAGCUUCGGUGUUACGACAUGACGCCAGCACUCGCGCCAACGAUUCAAUUUUAACAUUUCUCGUGGUUAGUUAAUUAACAACGCAGUCAGCCACAUUGUACUCGAGGUAGAGGCGAAUUUAAAUAUCAUUGACAUUUAAUGAUAACUGGUAAAGUUUUGAUUGUUUAUUGCAACGGUCCAACCCUGUAUUCAAAUCUAAUCCAUCAUAGAUCGAGUCGACUUGAUAACAAAUAUUGUCUGCGUGGAAUUUUAUGUGUUCACAUCAAUAAUCCAGCAAGUUGUCUGCUGUUGGGUCAUCGCGUCCUAAAUUUAUCAAAGGGAAUCUUAAAUCUGAGCUCCGGAGAUCCGAGUAUUGAUUUCUUAUUGAUGAUCGCUGGCUAAUGCGUACUAAUAAUAUAAGUCCUCAUGUAUUUAUUAAUACGAUGAAUUUAAUCUAACAAGUCAAUAAAGAAGACCAGUAAAGCCGUAAUUCCUUUAACAAAAAAUAAAAAAACCCUGGUCGUUUCAGUAAAA